rnacentral:ncRNA from 2 species
AGCAUCAAUGGUUGUUACCUUCAUAUAUGCUUGGAAAUAUGGUCCAAGUGUCUCUACCGGGUCGCCGUAAACGACCUGACUAUGAAGGCAGAAUGAGCUAGA